CAUUUUUUAACUUUCCUUGACUUUUUAAAUUAAGGAUAAUUUAAUGUACAAGCAUUCAAGAAACUUUCUCUAAGGUAAUUAGCUAGUCGGGCAAUCUUGACUAGUACUUUCAUUAAUUAUGCUUUUUCUAGCUCUUUGUGCAAAACCGCAUAGAGCUAACUGACAGGUAACCCGUCAGUCGGCUUUUUACUUUGGCAUCUGAAAGCACACUGAACAUUUAACUGGAAUCGUAUGGAAUAUUAUAUUUGAGAAUCAUAUGUAUUUUCUUCAUAUGGUAUAUUCAUAUCUGUCGCGAUUAUACACAUAUAUUUUGGAAAGUAUGUUAAAACCUGAACAGCACACAACAUUAACAUUUCAAUAAACAUUUAUCGAUUUACUAUAUUAAA